GCGUCCUUGGUGUAGUGGUAACACGGCAGCUUCCCAAGCUUCAGUUGUGGGUUCGAUUCCCAUAGGACGCU
rnacentral:tRNA from 1 species